rnacentral:rRNA from 1 species
UACGGGGGGGGGCAAGCGUUGUUCGGAAUUACUGGGCGUAAAGGGCUCGUAGGUGGCCGACUAAGUCGGACGUGAAAUCCCUCAGCUUAACUGGGGAACUGCGUCCGAUACUGGAUGGCUUGAGUUUGGGAGAGGGAUGCGGAAUUCCAGGUGUAGCGGUGAAAUGCGUAGAUAUCUGGGAGGAACACCGGUGGCGAAGGCGGCAUCCUGGACCAACACUGACACUGAGGAGCGAAAGCCAGGGGAGCAAACGGG